UCCCUGGUGGCUCAGAGGGUAAAGCGUCUGCCUGCAAUGCAGGAGACCUGGGUUCAAUCCCCGGGUUGGGAA
rnacentral:tRNA from 1 species